UACGGGGGGAGCAAGCGUUGUUCGGAUUUACUGGGCGUAAAGGGCGCGUAGGCGGCCACCGCAAGUCGACUGUGAAAUCUCCGGGCUUAACCCGGAAAGGUCAGCCGAUACUGCGGGGCUAGAGUGCAGAAGGGGCAACUGGAAUUCUCGGUGUAGCGGUGAAAUGCGUAGAUAUACGGAGGAACACCUGCGGCGAAGGCGGGUAGCUGGGCCAACACUGACGCUGAGACGCGAAAGCUAGGGGAGCAAACGGG
rnacentral:rRNA from 1 species